AUAAUUGACCUCCCAAAAACCAAAUCCUGAAAGUUUAUAAAUGCUGAUGACAUCUGUCUGGCAACACAACCCCCCUGUUUUGACGCCUCAGACCAGAUCCUAAAUGAGGGCCUAACACAACUUAGUACUUCAAUACAUGGCGACUCAAACCAAGCCCCACAAAAACAGAAUCCAGUCUAUUCCACCUCUACAGCGCACAAACUACAACAAAGCUCAACAUUCAGAUGAGCAAUCUGAAACAGCAGCACCAGCCAAGGUGAAAACAAUGAACAAUCUGAUCUCUGAACUUGGUGAAAUAUGGGGCGCUGCCACUGCCACCCUCCAGACCUCAUCCUGGGCACUGUCUUUCUUAGCAGCAGAAUACUGCCCUCACUGUCUGGUCAAGAUCAUCAAUAGGCAUCCAGCUGAGUUCUAUCAUGAGCAACAUCACUGGAGCCCUACACUCCACCCCACUCCCCUGACUCCCACCACACAUCUGAUGACUUGCAAUCACCCAGGAAAUGCUCACAAAGUUCCGAAAUGCUGCUCACUUGCCCCUACAUGGGGACAUCUUUAAUACAAAGUCCACCUGGGCUCAAGAAUGGGAAUCCCUGGACCUAACAGUCACAGGCCCUAUCCAACAUCCCCCUGACCUUCUCUUCCCAGGACACUCUGAGUUGCUUCAGGACUGGCCAGGGUCUGUGUCCUGCCAGCCUCUAUAGACGAGGAAUCGAUGUCUGUCUUCUUGUGGGAUUUAGCAAACUAUGCAGCUUAUCCUAGAUACCUGCCCACUCCACAGACUCAGUGGAGGUCUACUUACCCUCAACAGAGUGACCAGAAUCUAUCGCUGGGCUCAGGGACUUUUGAUUCACUAAAUAACUAUAAAAUUGUUCUGAAUUUACAGUGACAGCUUUACUGACCACAUUCAAUACUGAAUUAAUACAAGUUUUCAUUUAUUUACAAAAAACGUGGUUGUUAAUUGGAGAUGCUGAUGAUUCACUCAAGGUGAAGACAGCUAUGGUUCAAUUAGUCUUAUUCCUAAAACAGUGGAUUGUCUGCCAGUUCCACAUGGAUUACUGCACAUGAUUUGGAUUGACUUGAGCCAAUAAAUGAUUAAACACAA